rnacentral:rRNA from 1 species
AACGAACGCUGGCGGCAGGCCUAACACAUGCAAGUCGAGCGCGCCCUUCGGGGUGAGCGGCGGACGGGUGAGUAACGCGUGGGAACGUGCCCUUUUCUACGGAAUAGCCUCGGGGAACUGAGAGUAAUACCGUAUACGCCCUUUGGGGGAAAGAUUUAUCGGAAAAGGAUCGGCCCGCGUUGGAUUAGGUAGUUGGUGGGGUAAUGGCCUACCAAGCCGACGAUCCAUAGCUGGUUUGAGAGGAUGAUCAGCCACACUGGGACUGAGACACGGCCCAGACUCCUACGGGAGGCAGCAGUGGGGAAUCUUAGACAAUGGGGGCAACCCUGAUCUAGCCAUGCCGCGUGAGUGAUGAAGGCCUUAGGGUUGUAAAGCUCUUUCAGCUGGGAAGAUAAUGACGGUACCAGCAGAAGAAGCCCCGGCUAACUCCGUG